rnacentral:rRNA from 1 species
AGUGAACGUUGGCGGCGUGGAUUAGGCAUGCAAGUCGCGCGGAAAGGCCCCGCAAGGGGUACUCGAGCGGCGUAAGGGAUAGUAACACGUGGGUACCUACCCCCGGGACUGGGAUAGCUGCGGGAAACUGCAGGUAAUACCGGAUAACGUCUCCGGACCAAAGGUGUGAUUCCGCCCGGGGAGGGGCCCGCGUCCUAUUAGCUAGUUGGCAGGGUAACGGCCUACCAAGGCUAAGAUGGGUAGGGGGUGUGAGAGCAUGACCCCCAUCACUGGGACGGAGACACUGCCCAGACACCUACGGGUGGCUGCAGUCGAGAAUCUUCGGCAAUGGGCGCAAGCCUGACCGAGCGACGCCGCGUGCGGGACGAAGGCCCUCGGGUUGUAAACCGCUGUCAGAGGGAAAGAAGUGCCAGGGGGUUCCCCCCUUGGUUUGACUGACCCUCAGAGGAAGUACGGGCUAAGUUCGUGCCAGCAGCCGCCGUAACAC